rnacentral:pre_miRNA from 1 species
AGGAGGAACAACCCCAGUGGUGGCAGCCAGAUCUGGAGCCCUCGAUUCAGCUCCAGCAGUAACUAUGGAGCUCUCAGUCUGCAGGUGCCUGGAUGCUCUGGGGUCCG